CAAGUGGAGCGACGAACCGGGGCUUGCCCCGGGGCAAAGCCGCGAACGGGUGAGUAACACGUGGGUAACCCACCUCGAUGACCGGGACAACCCGAGGAAACUCGGGCUAAUACCGGAUGUGUUCCCUUCUCGUGAGAGAUGGGAGGAAAGAUAGCUUCGGCCUUCGCAUCGAGACGGGCCCGCGGCCCAUUAGCUUGUUGGUGGGGUAACGGCCUACCAAGGCUUCGAUGGGUAGCUGGUCUGAGAGGACGAUCAGCCACACUGGGACUGAGACACGGCCCAGACUCCUACGGGAGGCAGCAGUGGGGAAUCUUGCACAAUGCGCGAAAGCGUGAUGCAGCAACGCCGCGUGGGGGAAGACGGCCUUCGGGUUGUAAACCCCUUUCAGUUGGGACGAAGCUCCGCCGGUGAAUAGCCGGCUGGAGUGACGGUACCUUCAGAAGAAGCCCCGGCUAACUACGUGCCAGCAGCCGCGGUAAUACGUAGGGGGCUAGCGUUGUCCGGAAUCAUUGGGCGUAAAGAGCGUGUAGGCGGUCCGGUAAGUCCGCUGUGAAAGUCGGGGGCUCAACCCUCGAAUGCCGGUGGAUACUGUCGGGCUAGAGUGCGGAAGAGGCGAGUGGAAUUCCUGGUGUAGCGGUGAAAUGCGCAGAUAUCAGGAGGAACACCUAUUGCGAAGGCAGCUCGCUGGGACGUAACUGACGCUGAGACGCGAAAGCGUGGGAGCAAACAGGAUUAGAUACCCUGGUAGUCCACGCUGUAAACGAUGGGCACUAGGUGUGGGGGGUGUCGACCCCUGCGGUGCCUUAGCUAACGCGUUAAGCACCCGCCU
rnacentral:rRNA from 1 species